GGGCCCGUAGUUCAACGGCUAGAACGGUGCUCUUAUAAAGCACUAACGAUGGUUCGACUCCAUCCCGGCCCA
rnacentral:tRNA from 1 species